rnacentral:rRNA from 1 species
UACGUAGGUGGCAAGCGUUGUCCGGAUUUACUGGGCGUAAAGAGCGCGCAGGCGGUCGUUUAAGUCGAAUGUGAAAGCCCCCGGCUCAACUGGGGAGGGUCAUUCGAUACUGAUCGACUUGAAGGCAGGAGAGGGAAGUGGAAUUCCGGGUGUAGUGGUGAAAUGCGUAGAUAUCCGGAGGAACACCAGUGGCGAAGGCGACUUCCUGGCCUGUUCUUGACGCUGAGGCGCGAAAGCUAGGGUAGCAAACGGG